rnacentral:rRNA from 1 species
UACGUAGGGUGCGAGCGUUGUCCGGAAUUAUUGGGCGUAAAGAGCUCGUAGGCGGUCUGUCGCGUCGAAUGUGAAAACCCGGGGCUCAACUCCGGGCUUGCAUUCGAUACGGGCAGGCUAGAGUUCGGUAGGGGAGUCUGGAAUUCCUGGUGUAGCGGUGAAAUGACGCAGAUAUCAGGAAGAACACCCGUGGCGAAGGCGGCUCUCUGGAACGCAACUGACGCUGAGGAGCGAAAGCGUGGGGAGCGAACAGG